AGUGACCAAUGGGGAGAGUUGGAGGACCGGAAGGACCUGGUCCUUCAGCAAUCAGAGCGUGGCCUUGGUGUGAAUGAAGAUUGAAAUUCACACAGACUAAAACUUCCUCCUGUGUCCAACAUCUGACAGCCUGUGGGAAACUGAUCCUGGGAGUCUCCAGAGAGAGUUUGAGUGAUUUAAGUGGGACUGCAAGGCAGUGAGUUGGCCAGCAGAGAGAUAAUGUUGUGACUGAACAAAAAGUUGCUGUUAGAAGAGGAGGAUUUCCAGACAGAAAUCUCAAACCAAACAUCAAGAUCUGACAGUCGUUCAGUUCAUCACGACCUGAAUAUCAUCAGCCUUUGAAUCUC